CCGCCGGCCCCUGCCCGGCUCCUCGGGCCGCCGUGUGUCAGCUCCGCUCGGCUGCCCUUGUGCGCGGGGCCGAAUUCCCGUGCCUUUUGUACCUGGGGCUUGUUAAGGCUUUUUAUUGACAUGGUGUUGCGGCUUUAAUUGCGCCUCUUCCCCCUGUUCCUCUUAACAGUCCUGUUCUUUCACUGGGAUCUGAGCAGAUGUUGCCCUUCCUUGGCACUGAUUUCCAGCUGUGCAGGCUGAAGCACUGCUGUAUGCUCUGCAGAUCAGCUCAUGGCUGCCAAUGUGAAGUAUCAGGAGAGAACAGUUGGAACUUUCCGGGACAAGAGAGGACUGGUUUAUUCUCUCGUUCUUCGGUAAGA